CUCUGCAGAAACUCAGUCUCCACCACUCAGAUUGAAGGAGACCAGAGGAAUUCUAGGUCACUGGGCUCUCCUCACUGAAUCGUCCUGAGACCACUCAAAAUGUGAUUUAUUUGUCCCCCAGCCAGUAGAAGGUUCCAUGUAGGUGAAAAUGGAUAUUUGGCUAGUGAAAGAGAAAUGGAAAUGAGACCCGCAGGCUGACUUAUUCAGGAGAAAGAGGGAAAAAAGACCCAGGAAGCGGAGAGUUGAGAAAAUGUUGGAGAGCACUUCACGCCCCGCUGUCAAUCUG